rnacentral:rRNA from 1 species
GACGUAGGGUGCGAGCGUUGUCCGGAUUUAUUGGGCGUAAAGAGCUCGUAGGCGGCUCGCCGCGUCGACCGUGAAAACCCGCGGCUUAACUGCGGGCUUGCGGUUGAUACGGGCGGGCUAGAGUUCGGUAGGGGAGACUGGAAUUCCUGGUGUAGCGGUGAAAUGCGCAGAUAUCAGGAAGAACACCCGUGGCUAAGGCGGCUCUCUAGUACGGUACUGACGCUGAGACGCGAAAGCGUGGGGAGCGAACAGG